rnacentral:lncRNA from 1 species
CAUAUUAUUUGAUGUUGAUGACAAUUAAGUGAAAUAUCUAUUCAAUCUUUUUAUAUGAGAUUUAGUUAUCGAAUCAUUGGCGCUAACACAUUAAUCCAAAACGCUUAAACUUUUAGAAAUAUAUAAUCAGUUCACUUAAAGUAAAUAGAUAUAGUACCCACGAGUCUCGAUUGUAACUCGGCCCAAUCAGCCUCACGUCAUUUCGAACAUGAUUCGGUUUAGUCCGAUCUCCUACUAUUUCGAACAUGACUUGGUCCAACCUGACCUCCUGCCAUGAGGCCGCCGGAUGAUCGAU